UACAGAGGUCUCAAGCGUUGUUCGGAUUCAUUGGGCGUAAAGGGUGUGUAGGUGGCGCCGUAAGUCGGGUGUGAAAUUUCGGAGCUUAACUCCGAAACUGCAUUCGAUACUGCGGUGCUUGAGGACUGGAGAGGAGACUGGAAUUACGGUGUAGCGUGAAAUGCGUAGAGAUCGAUGAGGAAGACCAGUGACGAAGGCGGGUCUCUGGACAGUUCCUGACGCUGAGGCACGAAGGCCAGGGGAGCAAACGGG
rnacentral:rRNA from 1 species